UACAGAGGUCUCAAGCGUUGUUCGGAUUCAUUGGGCGUAAAGGGUGCGUAGGUGGCAUGGUAAGUCGGAUGUGAAAUCCCGGGGCUCAACCCCGGAACUGCAUUCGAUACUGCUGAGCUAGAGUACUGGAGAGGAGAUUGGAAUUUACGGUGUAGCAGUGAAAUGCGUAGAUAUCGUAAGGAAGACCGGUGGCGAAGGCGGAUCUCUGGACAGUUACUGACACUGAGGCACGAAGGCCAGGGGAGCAAACGGG
rnacentral:rRNA from 1 species